CAAAGUCCACAUUUUGUUCACAGUAAUUGUAAUUAUUAAGUAAUUGCUCUUAUUCUGAAAAACUAAGCGGAAGUGUAGUCAGAGCUGUGAGGUAAACAAACGACGCUGCAUCCCUUGAUGUGUUCACAUAAAUGUUACUCGUGUUCAAGCAUUUUUGUUUGGACAAAUCAUGUAUUUUUAUGUAGAUACAUUUUUUUAGCGUCUUCAUUUUGCUGUUGUCAGUUCUACGAGUAAUUCCGGAAUUUCUCAGCUAAUCCUGCUAACAACAGUUUAGCUUACUGCUAGCUAAUCAACGCAGUUAGCUCGUUCUCUUCAUACAUCCACGAGUUAGCUCAAGACUUAAAGAAAGUGUACACCACACGGCUGAGAUACAUUUGGUCGACGUGCACAUGACUACAACGAUUUAGUUAUAGCUGGCCGUCCCCUGCUGCCCUGUCUCCAAGGAAAUAAAAGACUCCAAACGACAAACUCUGAUGGUGUUGGAGGAUGAUGGAUAACCACAAGAGCCACUUACCCUGUCAGUCGUGGGCGAGCCAGAAUGGCUGGUCUACUACUUCAACUCAAGGACCCCACGUCAACCCUCUCCCCAGCUCUCAGCAUCUCAGCCUGGGCUCGUCUUCUGACCAGAGACCCUCCUACGAACACCUGCAGGAGUCCAAUCAGAGCUGUAUGAGCGACCUCGGCACCUUAUCCUCAAGAAAUACCCCUCAUCACUCUGAUCUGUACAAAGCCUCGCACAUCAGCAUCAAUCCGUCAUCAAAUACGCUGUUUGCCAACGCUGCCAUCCCGGGUUCCUCUCACAUCAUUUCCUUUUCCCAGCAAAGCCCUCACACUUCAUCGUUGCUACUAACUGCAAACCAAGGAAAAAACAUUCCCCCACUAUCUCUUCCCCAAAUAAACCAAUCUCCACAGCCUUGUAGGCCCCAACAUCCACCACUUCUCUCACCGCACAACCUUUACAAAGCCCCAUUUCAACCUCCAUUAACCAAUCAGGGUUUACCAAAUGGACUUCUGCCCAUUAGUACAUCUCAAUCUACUUUUGAAGGAGUGAAUGUGGAGUUUGUUGGUGUCGCUGGAUACACUCACAGCCAUGCCUCAUCCAUGUCUCAGGAGCAGUGGAUACCUUCACCAAACUGCAUGGUCGCCGUAAACGAGUCUGUCCCUGAUGCAGCUGCUCAUCCUAAAAACGCACCAUCGCAAGAGGGGAGCAUUAGUUCACCGGCCAGCAAUGAGAGACAACGUUUGGUGCUUUUACAUCAGCGCGCACAACUACUUCAACAAGUGGCAGAGUUGGAUAAACUUCUGGAAUCCAUACAGCCAGAGGACAGCAGCGGUGGGCCGUCUCCACACACAGCUAUGCAGUCUCCCCCAUCAAUGGAUGAUUCAUCUCAAGGUGAACAAACUGAGACUGCACAGCAGGUUCAGCUGCCUGCAGGAACGUCUAAGUCACAUCUGUCAUCGGAGUGUUCGUCACCUGCAUCCUAUGAUGAACACAGCGAGGCCUGUGAUACACCAGAGGGUCCAAUGUCACCAAAUGUCAAAUUAGAGAAAAUAGAAAAUGCCUCAGCGGAGUCGGAGGAUGAAAGUGACCCUGAUUACUCGCCCAACAGUGAUGGGGACUUCUCUGACUGCCUCUCUCACCCUGACGUGGGCUCUUCAGAUGAAUCCAGUCACAGCAGACCCUCAACCCCCACAAACGAAAAACCUUCUCUGCCAGAAAGAAAAGAAGCUAGAUCAGGAAGUUCUAUGUUCAAGGACAAAACUGUCCCUCCUCCAAAACAGAUUCAUGCAGCUAAUCUGAAAAUUAAUACGGUAGUGUUGCCAUGUUCAAAUUCUAAAGCACGCCGCGUUUAUGACCGGAGGAAUUAUUGUUUAUUUUGCUCUAAGCCAGUAUCCAAAAUGUCACGACACCUUGAGAGGAUCCACAGUGACAAAACAGAAGUGGCAGCUGUAUUCCAGUAUCCCAUCAAAUCCAAAGAAAGAAUGAAAUUAUGGAACAGACUCAUAAAUCAAGGAAACUUUGCUCAUAAUAAAGAUGUCUUGAAAACAGGAAAGGGCCAACUUGCUGUCCGCAAAAGGCCGAGCAAAACUCGUAAAGCCCAAGACUUUCUUCAUUGUCUUCACUGUCGAGGUCUUUUUAUGAAGAAGGCUUUGCACAGACACAUGAAGUUUUGCCCGGAGAAAGUGAAGAAUGAGGACGAGUUCGGAAGAAAGAAUAUCGCAUCUCGGUGUGUCCUUGAAACUUUAGGAGACCUUGGCAUUAGUGACGGUUUCAAGAGCAUUCUGUCCGAGAUGAUAUACGACGAUGUGACGCAAGCCGUCAUGGAAGACGACGUCAUCUUGCAGUUUGGCGAGCUCCUGUUAAGUCAGAACGGAUCUGAUCCGAAGAAGCAUGACUAUAUAAGACAAAACCUCCGUCAGAUAGCAAGACUUGUACUCGAAGCGAAAAAAAUAACCCCUCUGGAGAAACUGGAGGACUUCUUUCUCCCUUCGAGCUUCCCACAUGUGGUGUCUGCAGUGAACGUGCUGGCAGGCUACAAUGCAGAAAACCAAAUGUACAGCAUUCCUUCACUUGCCAUCAAGCUUGGCUACCACCUACAGAAGACCUGUGGUAUCGUCGAGGGCAACGCAGUGAAGUGUGGGGACGCAAGUUUGGCAGAGUCGGCGCGAAACUUCCUCUCUGUGUACCAGAAAAAGUGGAACAAGCUCAUUUCUGCGGGUGCAUUAACAACACUCAGGAAAACAAAACUGAAAACAGCGAAGAAGGUGCCGUUUGCUCAAGAUGUGAAGCGCCUGAAUUUCCACAUGGAGAACGUUCAUCUUCUUACUGAAAAAACCCUCCGAGACAGCCCUUCUCCAGAGAACUAUGCCGCUCUGGCCAAGGUGAUACUCUCUCGGACAAUAUUUUUCAACAGGAGAAAUGUGCGAGAGGUAUCGUCGGUGGAAAUAAGCGAUUUCAUGUCCCGGAAAAAGUCAAAGCUGCAUGAUGGCAUGGACAUAUCCGUCUCAGAUUUUGAAAAGAAAAUGUGCGGGUCCUUCGCUAGAGUUGACAUACGAGGGAAGUGUGGGAGAACGGUCCCCGUUUUACUGAAACCGUCAUUCGAGACGGCUAUGGAGCUUCUCAUAAAGGUGCGCGAGACAUGUGGCGUGCCCAGUAAGAAUCCCUACCUGUUUGGCCGACCACAUGCACUGUCGGCCUACGCUGGGGCAGAGUGCAUCCAGAAAUAUGUCAAAGAGUGUGGCGCUGCAGACCCUGAAACGCUGACAUCCUCAAAAAUCCGGAAGCAUUACGGAACAAUGCUACAGCUGAUCAACCUGGAUGAAAAUGAGGCCGACCAAAUUUUAGGCCCUAAUAAUGAAGUCCGAAGCCUGCGACAGGACAGCAGCAUGCAGCUGGAUGAUGUUGAAAUGGACUCUGGUGAGAGAGGACCACAAGCUGCGUCAUGGGAUCAAAAAGAGUUUUCCGGUGCACGCCAUGGACAAUCGCAUGGAGCACCAACGAGCGCCAACAUGACUGUAACUCCAAAUCCGAUCAAACCGGGCAAAAAAGGCUCAAAUCAGGGCAAACAUAAAUGGGAGGAAGCAGAGGUUCUUGCUGUUGAAAGACACAUGAUGUGUUUAAUUCAAGGACACAAGGUGCCUCAGAAAAACGACUGCAUUCAGUGUCUUGAGGCUGAGCCAGAAGCUCUGAGGACCCGUUCAUGGAAAGGUGUGAAGGACUACGUCAGAAACAGGAUUACUGCCCUAAAAAGGCAAAGUGGAACUUCUGCAUCCACAAACAGUAACAUGUCUGGGCAAAUAGAACCACAGCAGAGUAACGGACAUUUUCAUCAGUUAUAGGAGGGAUAUUUUGUCAAUUGCAAAUCUUCCAUUUGUUCGUCCUUCAGCACCCUCUGUUCCUCUUGUUUAAUUUGUUCAGUCUCCAUAUGCGUGUUAUGUGACAUUGUGAGCGUUUACAUCCAUUAGGAUGGCCAAGAAUACAUUUUAUAUUUCAACAUUUUUAUUUUUUGUGGAUUAUGAUUCUCUUACUUUAUAUGACUACAGAAUGUCACUGUGGUUUUGUUUCAUUUUAUAAAGUUUAUUUGUACAGACGGCUCAUGCGCACUGACGAAAAAUGUGUGUAAUUGGCUAGUUACUAAGCUAACUUUGGUGAGCAAGUUAUCUGGUAUAGUGUAUUUAGUUCUUCUCUUUGGUAUACUAUAUUUUGUUCGACUUUGUAUAACAACUUGCGACCAAUAAACUACAGUGUGAACAAAAACACAAGUAUUGCACUCAUAAAAUGCUGGACAUAUUGUAUUUCAUUGAUUUGUGCCAGGCCAACUGUAUCUUUGUCCUUGUAUGUAUGAAUGACAAUCGUAUAGGCAGUGGUAGAAGAAGUAUUCAGAUAUUUUAAACGUGUGGCUGUAGAGGCAAAGUCAGCACAUUCAAAAUGUGUAAAAGUUGAGAAGUAUUAGAGACACAUUUUACUUAAAAUAUCAAAAUUAAGAGCACUCAUUAGGAAGCUGAAUCUCCCGUUA
ensembl:lncRNA uncharacterized LOC115013928